GGUUAAGCGACUAAGCGUACACGGUGGAUGCCUAGGCAGUCAGAGGCGAUGAAGGGCGUGCUAAUCUGCGAAAAGCGUCGGUAAGCUGAUAUGAAGCGUUAUAACCGACGAUACCCGAAUGGGGAAACCCAGUGCAAUACGUUGCACUAUCGUUAGAUGAAUACAUAGUCUAACGAGGCGAACCGGGGGAACUGAAACAUCUAAGUACCCCGAGGAAAAGAAAUCAACCGAGAUUCCCCCAGUAGCGGCGAGCGAACGGGGAGGAGCCCAGAGUCUGAAUCAGUUUGUGUGUUAGUGGAAGCGUCUGGAAAGUCGCACGGUACAGGGUGAUAGUCCCGUACACCAAAAUGCACAGGCUGUGAACUCGAUGAGUAGGGCGGGACACGUGACAUCCUGUCUGAAUAUGGGGGGACCAUCCUCCAAGGCUAAAUACUCCUGACUGACCGAUAGUGAACCAGUACCGUGAGGGAAAGGCGAAAAGAACCCCGGCGAGGGGAGUGAAAUAGAACCUGAAACCGUGUACGUACAAGCAGUGGGAGCACCUUCGUGGUGUGACUGCGUACCUUUUGUAUAAUGGGUCAGCGACUUAUAUUUUGUAGCAAGGUUAACCGAAUAGGGGAGCCGUAGGGAAACCGAGUCUUAACUGGGCGUCUAGUUGCAAGGUAUAGACCCGAAACCCGGUGAUCUAGCCAUGGGCAGGUUGAAGGUUGGGUAACACUAACUGGAGGA
rnacentral:rRNA from 1 species